UACGUAGGGGGCAAGCGUUGUCCGGAAUCAUUGGGCGUAAAGAGCGUGUAGGCGGCUUGGUAAGUCCGCUGUGAAAGUCCAGGGCUCAACCCUGGAAAGCCGGUGGAAACUGUCAAGCUUGAGUCCGGAAGAGGCGAGUGGAAUUCCUGGUGUAGCGGUGAAAUGCGCAGAUAUCAGGAGGAACACCAAUGGCGAAGGCAGCUCGCUGGGAUGGUACUGACGCUGAGACGCGAAAGCGUGGGGAGCAAACAGG
rnacentral:rRNA from 1 species